rnacentral:rRNA from 1 species
UGGGGAAUAUUGGACAAUGGGCGCAAGCCUGAUCCAGCCAUGCCGCGUGUGUGAAGAAGGCCUUAGGGUUGUAAAGCACUUUCAGUGGGGAGGAAGGGUAUUGUGUUAAUAGCACAGCAUUUUGACGUUACCCACAGAGGAAGCACCGGCUAACUCCGUGCCAGCAGCCGCGGUAAUACGGAGGGUGCAAGCGUUAAUCGGAAUUACUGGGCGUAAAGCGCACGCAGGCGGCUUUUAAGUCGGAUGUGAAAGCCCCGGGCUCAACCUGGGAAUUGCAUCUGAUACUGGGAAGCUAGAGUAUGUGAGAGGGGGGUAGAAUUCCAAGUGUAGCGGUGAAAUGCGUAGAGAUUUGGAGGAAUACCAGUGGCGAAGGCGGCCCCCUGGCACAAUACUGACGCUCAGGUGCGAAAGCGUGGGGAGCAAAACAGGAUUAGAUACCCUGGUAGUCCACGCCGUAAACGAUGUCUACUAGAUGUUCGUGGUCUUGUACCGUGAGUAUCGCGGCUAAACGCAUUAAGUAGACCGCCUGGGGAGUACGGUCGCAAGAUUAAAAACUCAAAUG